UACAGAGGGGGCAAGCGUUAUUCGGAAUUAUUGGGCGUAAAGGGCGCGUAGGCGGCUUUUCAAGUGACGGGUGAAAUCCCGCGGCUUAACCGAGGAACUGCCUGUCAGACUGGAAGGCUUGAGACCGGGAGAGGUGAGUGGAAUUCCCAGUGUAGCGGUGAAAUGCGUAGAUAUUGGGAGGAACACCAAUGGCGAAGGCAGCUCGCUGGGACGUUACUGACGCUGAGACGCGAAAGCGUGGGGAGCAAACAGG
rnacentral:rRNA from 1 species